rnacentral:ncRNA from 1 species
UUUGGUUGCUACUUGGUGGUUAAGAGGCGACCGAAAGGUGUCGGCCUAGUGAGCGUUGAGGCUUGCGACAUUGUCAAAUUGCGGGGACGUCCUUAGAGCCUUUGCUACCGCCUUCGCAUGGAAACAUAGUGUCGUGCACCAGGGUAAUGACCUCGGGUAUGGUAAAAACGCAAAGGAUUGGAUAAUCCGCAGCCAAGCUCUAAGGGCCUUUUGUUGUGCCUACGAGUGCAGUUCACAGACUAAAUGGCAAUGGGUGUGGUUGUAAUCACCACGCUUAAGAUAUAGUCGGUCCCGCCGCGAGAGCGGUCUGGCAGAGGAAGGUGUUCUGUUGAUCUCUCAACCAAUACGAUCAUCACACUUGGAGCUGCCAGGAGACGUUUUGAAAGUGUCUUGGGGUUAAAUGCUAGUAGCUGGUUCCUGCCGAAGUUUCCCUCAGG